rnacentral:tRNA from 1 species
GCGGGGAUGGCGGAAUUGGCAGACGCGCAAGACUAAGGAUCUUGUGUCCAACUACGGACGUGAGGGUUCAAGUCCCUUUCCCCGCA